GCCGGGCAUGGUGGCACGUGCCUGUAGUCCCAGCUACUCGGGAGGCUGAGGCAGGAGAAUUGCUUGAACCCAGGAGGCAGGGGUUGCAGUGAGCCAAGGUCACGCCACUGCACUCCAGCCUGGGCAACACAGCGAGACUCUGUCUCAA
rnacentral:SRP_RNA from 1 species